GCGAUGUAAAUCUGACUCAUGCAGAGGAAGUCACAAAGAUGCCCCGGCCUGUCUGGAUUUCCAGCAAUAUUAUGAUGAGGAAUACAUUCAUUUGUCUGUAAGGAAAGGAUUUAAAGAACAGUCCAACCAAGGACUAGGAACACACACACCCCUUGUCAAGACUUUGGAGAGACUUUGGGGAUAAUCAUCAUGGACUCUUCAAUGUCCCUGUGACAGGAAGAACAUCUGGUUCCUGCUCAGAGAUCUGUGCCAACCAAGGAGAAAGGGAACAAGCUGAUCCUGCCUGGAAAACACAACCCAGUGGGAAAGGGGGAAUGAAAAGGCUGCUUGAAAAGCAAGCGAGCAGAAGUCUAUUCUCUGAUUCCCACUCUUCUGGUUCAAGAUGAAAUGGAGAUGAUGAAAAUCAAGAUGAAACUGUCUGAAUGUUGAAGAGGUGCAGCUGCAGCCACAGAUGUAGACUUUCCUACAGACCAGAGCAGAGCAAAUGAGAAGGAAAGUGCAUUUUCCCUCCCUCUCCCACAGCCUGCUCUGCCCAAGCUGCUGCUUUCCAGCCACAACCUGCAGCAGCAAUAACUUUUAUUGAUAUUUUUUUAGGGGAAUUCC